CCCCCCCCCCCCCCCCCCCCCCCCCCCCCCCCCCCCUAGGGGGUGUGGGGGGGGAAGCAGACAUAGCUGCAUGAAGUGGCUGCCUUUUCGAAAGCACAUUUAAUCUUUCCUGGCUCCCCUAGGCUUCGAUGAAUUAGAAGGGAAAGGAGAGGAGAGGGGGAAAGAAAAAAUCCAGGCAAGGGAGGCUGUUGAGGGACAGCAAGCAUCAGGCUCAAAUCAACGACCAGAUGAAAAUGUACUAGACCACACUGCCCCCUCUCUUCCUCUCGCUCUGUCUCCUUCUCUCUCACACACUCUCACUCCUGGAAAGCUUCAGUGUCUGGUUACAGACUCUUUUGGAUCCUUCCCCCCCUCCCCACCCUCGCCCUUUGCCAACUAUCCUAGAGAUUCCUUGCAUGCCUACUUAAAUCUUUAACAGAAUAAGGACCCGGCUCCCCCCUCCGCCAGCCCCGCACACACUCACACACACACACACACACACACACCACUGCCGGUCACCCUUCCCAAUAAUCCCUUAAGCUGCCGGCAGAAACCCGCCGGAGCAUCCCCGGAGCAUCCCCGGCCCCGCCGCAUCCCCGCCGGGUACCAGCCCCGGGAGCCGGGGUGCAGGGGGCUGAAGGGCGAGCGGCGAGGGGAGCGGCGGGGCUGCAGCCCCUCGCCUCGCAUCGCUCGGGCUGCCUGUGGGUUUUUAAAACAAUAAAAGCCGGCGCUGGCUCCGCUCUCGCGGGUGCCCCCCGCUCCCCCCCGCCGCAGCCGCCCGUGGAAAUCGCACGCCCCGCGUCUGCAGCGAGGCAGGCAGACUGCCUGGCUCAUGCCCGUGAUGACUUUAGAGCUGACAACCUCCUCUCCUCGACCCCCCCUUCCCCUCCACACCCACCCCUGCGCUCAAUGGCAGCGCCGCUGCCUCUCGCACCAGACUAUAUUUGCAAUAUGUGCUAAUUUACCAGCUAUAUGCCCUUGGAUUUUAAAAUGAACUCAUCAGUCAAUGUUUCGAGUACCGAUGCUCCCUCUCUCUCCCUCACACACACCCUCCACUGCAGACAUGUUACUCAUUCUCCAAGCAUUUCCUCCCCGAAUGUCCGUCAGACGCAUAUACACUUCAUUGAUCAAACCAAAUCCCCUGAUAACAAUAAAUAAUAAUACAGACAGUUAACAUCAGCGGGGAGCGGAGCGGGGGGGCGCGGGGGGAGAGACAAAGAUGACGACUAAAUCUGCAUUGUGCUUUAGGAGGCUGAGCCCUGCCUUUCCCAGGGAUGCUCCGCACAAUGUGGGGAGCAGGUAGCCCCAAAACCGAGCCCACACCUCGUCCUGGGGCCUCCCCCACACACCCCCCCCCCCCCCCCCCCCCCCGCCCCCGUUUGCCCAGACCUCGGGGAUGGUGAUGUCUAAUACCUGAAUCCAGGUGUUUGUAGGAUCAGAAGGUGGUUCUGGCUAUGGAGGAGAGGAAGCACCUCGCGCAAAACACAGCAAUAAAUCCAGGCAGUUUCUUUGUUACAGUGAGCACUGCACAGACUCGCAGGAAUUAAAGGUAUCGGGGCAUCCGAAGACACAAGGAUUUCCAGAAACACCUUCUCAGCUCCCCCUGAAAUCCCUUUCCUUUGUAUUGACGGCAGGGAGCACCUAUGCAAGAAGCCAGGUUGGGAAGAAGGGCUCUUAAACAUUCCCCUGCUCCACAUGUUGGGUAUUUCAAGGGCUUUAGGGCUGCCGCGGCUUUAUUUCCCAUUUUUGUGGGGCUGAAGCAGGGGAGGCAGGAGAUUGGGAUUGCCCCUUGGGAUUUUGGCUGGUUGCACAGCUUGUGCGGGUCUGGCAGAGAGAAAGUGGCCGCAGUGUGAGUGUUCGGGAAGUUGGGGAGGGUGGGGCUAUCUAGAAAUCUUUGACUCACUGGGGUAACUCCCUGAGCACAGGAAUCAAAUUGUUGCUCCAAGCGAGCUGCAUUUUAUGAGCAGCAGCCUCAGAAUGAAACCCUGCAUGCACACGGAGCUGGGGACAGCUGAAAGAAACGCAUGGAAAUAAAGAUGCAGUCCAUAAUUAAAUUAUUGGGUGCAAUGCAGAAGUCUCUGGGUGAUGGAAGAGGUGGGAUUAUGCAGCAAUGUCAGGCUGGGAAUCCACGGAUACAAAUUUUCUUAUUUAUACCGACAUAAUCCUGAUUGGCAUCAGCCUAGAUAGGGGAAGAAUCAAACCCUGUGUACUGAAGGAUCUAAUCUUUGGGAAAAGUAGUCUGGAUUAGUGACUGUAUCUGCCAACCAUCCUUUCACUGCCUUUAGAGUCCCUCACCACCACUGCAAGGUUUUGCCAUCACACCGAGCAUUUCACAUCCAUUGUCUCCUUAUCUUCCCUCCCAAUAAAAAAAUGUUGGUUUUUUUUUUUUCCCGAAGUUUUGUAGCAAACACAUAAUUUCUUUAUACACUUUAGCCAAGCCUUUGGAGGAUACUUAUUUCAAGCAGUUAACACCUGACCCCAAUUUUUGUGGGUAAUUAGUGAGCUAGAUAACCACACAAAGUGGGUAAUUAUUUAGUACCCAAGGGUACUGUACAAGAGGGUAGAGGCUGGCGGUGUUAACAAAAGCACAUCCCUAAUUAUUGUAUCCAUCCUGAUGUUUUAAGAAUAGUUACUUCCACCUAAUGAUCCAUGAUAAAUCAGUAAACUCUUCUGCUUCCCUUAGCAUGGGAUAACCAAGGGCAGGAUGGAAGGCACAACUUCAAUCUGUGCAAGCUCCAAGAGAAGGGAGAGAAAUCUCCUUGGAGGAGGCAGCACUGGAAAGUGCCUGCUCUGGGACCCUAAAUCCACCAGGCUGCUUGGGAAGGCUGGAAAAGCCACGAAGGGAGUUUGUAGGGAGUGCCUCAGGCUCUGCUUCUGGCU
ensembl:lncRNA